rnacentral:rRNA from 1 species
AAAGAAAAUAACAAUGAUUCCCUCAGUAACGGCGAGCGAAGAGGGAUAAGCUCAAAUUUUAAAUCUGUUGGGUUCCACUUAACAGAGUUGUAUUUUGAAGAAACGUUUUCUGCGUCCAGGAUUAGCCUAAAUCCUUUGGGAUAAGGUAUCAUGGAGGGUGAGAAUCCCGUUCAUGGUCAAUCUUAAGGAAGCUCUACGAUACGUUUUCCAAGAGUCGAGUUGUUUGGGAUUGCAGCUCAAAAUGGGAGGUAAAUUUCUCCUAAGGCUAAAUAUUGGCGAGAGACCGAUAGCGAACAAGUACCGUGGGGGAAAGAUGAAAAGAACUUUGAAAAGAGAGUUAAACAGUACGUGAAAUUGUUGAAAGGGAAACGAUUGAAG